UAAGUUGGUAGUGAAAGCGUUCGGCUCAACCGGAUACACAUUACCAAAACUGCCAAGCUAGAGGAUGAGAGAGGUUAUUGGAAUUCCCUGUGUAGGAGUGAAAUCCGUAGAUAUAGGGAGGAACACCGAUGGCGUAGGCAGAUAACUGGCUCAUUCCUGACACUAAGGCACGAAAGCGUGGGGAGCAAACGGGAUUAGAUACCCGGUAGUCCACGCCGUAAACUAUGGAUGCUA
rnacentral:rRNA from 1 species